CCAAAUUGAUAUUAAACAAACAGGAAAUAAAAUUCACUAAUGGCCAUGGGCCUUAUUGCAAUUUAUAAAGCGAAAAGAUAAACUCCUAUUUGCUUGGUCCCACAAGGACCAUCUCCAGAUUCGGCAUUCUUGGCUCAGUCGAAUAGCUUUCCCACCUCGUGAAGUCCUAGCAAUAGGUAGGCUCUAGCUAGAUGUCCGCCUUCGGUCCCUUCUGCAUUUUGACAAUCUUCGACCCUUUUGAGAAACUUUCUCUCCAAUUCCACUAUGCCUCGCUCUAAGUAUCCUAGUCGCUUGUUGGCACUGAUAGCCAUGUCCUUCCACUCAUUGAUUUGGUCAUUCGAUCGAAGACUCCUCCACCAGUCUAGAAAGAGUGAGGGUGUGCUAACCAUACCGAAGUUGGGGACCUCGUUCUUCAUUUUCUGCAAAAUAAAACGGCUAAGACCAUACCCCCACCGGACUCAACUAUUUAAUAUCAACAAUUAGCAUGAAGAAUUUAGUUCUCCAAAUAAAUGCACAGAACUUGGUGACGUCCGUUUGGGUUUAGGGAAACCUAGUGGACUUUUUACAAGGCUAUCUUAAAGUAUCAUUAUGUGGACAAUAUAACUGACCCGGCUAGGUCUGACCAUGAUGCAUGCACAAUUUGAACAGAGUAAGGUUUAUAUGGGGUUUUAGACUAGUACCCUUGAGCGGACAACUCAAGGGGGUAGGCACAAAACUGAUGACUGCACCGCUGAUCGACUAGUUUUACUGCAAAUAUGCCUUUCCGAAUUUAUGGGGUAAUGAUAUAGGAAGAGCGCAACUACUCAUUAUAAGCGUUGCUAUAGUAUUUGUUUGGCAUGAGUGGAGUAUGAUGUUGAGCACGAUUAUGAAAUAAUCAAAACAUGUUGGCACGAAUUUGCACAUUAAGAAAGUGAAAUAUACAGCAGUUUCAUAAUUUAAAGAAACAAUAAAGGAAAGAAACAAGAAGACAUUUUUAAAGGAGAUUAACCGCUUAAAGGAAUUAAACAAGUAAUUGCACAUAAGGGAGGGUACAAAUUCACAAGAACAAUCUGAAGUGGUAAAAGCCUAAUAUCCCCAGUAGAGUCUCCAUGCUAUCGAGCCCCCUUUUUCCCUCUUCGCAUCGGAAAAUCGGGUUUACGACAUUUUAGGUAUGGGACAACUCAUUCCUUUAGGGAACUGGGUUUGUAUUUGGAGAGUCGCCACCUAAUGAUUUAUGGUGCAUUAGGACACCUAUAAGGUUCAUUUCUAAGUUUGUUUGAUAAACAGAGAUAGGGUAAGGGCUUGAAAUUAUCCUAAGGGGAAGGUGUUAGGAACCCCCCAGGAUCCACUAGUGUGGUUCCCGGCCAAAUAGUUUUUGUGAAUUUUGUACAAUUAGCAUAUAGACAAGUAUAGGCUCAAAUAGUAGGGGAUUUGAGUUUGAACACAUAAGAGUUUGAAAACAAUUAAAAGGCAAUUUUUGAAAAUGAGUUAUAGUUCUACAAAUACUUGAGAAUAUAAAAGGGGGGGAGGGUCCUAGGUUUAUUUAUAAUAUGGAUCACAUCAACGCGAUACCCGGUAUGACACUCUGAAUAGGGGAUACACGUGAUAUUAGUGCACCGGUCAUCAUAUCCACAUCUACCCUUCCCACUUCGUUAAGGUAUUAAAGCGCGGAUUGGUCUCGACCUCUAUCGCAUGCUAUUACCCGUCCCAUUCCUAUUAGUCACGGAGGAAUUUAGGACUACUAUUCCUAUAAGAGUGAGGAUUUUAGGCUGACUCUUGGGUUUUAAAGGUAAAAAGGCUAAGGCGACAUACAAAACACGUAGGACUGUAUAUUAGGUGAAAUAUAUAAACAAAUAAGAGGCUCAUGUAUACCUCCGUAGACAAUGCACGUAAAUAGCAUGACUUAAACAUAGUUAGGGUCAGAAUUUAAAGUGCUAAGGCCGGGGGUAUUUUAUUUGUUGAAGAAUAGCUAGAUUUAUUACAUAACUCAGAUAAGAAGUCCGAAUCAGGCCUGCCUGCUGGUUGUAGCAGUUGCUAAUUAACAAAGGCGAAUUCAGUUUUAUCAUUAUUUCCUAAGGCUUGCCUAAGUGUGUAUUGGUGAUGUCCUAUAAGAAUGAUGUCUAUUACUGAUUAGGAAUGUAUUAAAGCAGUGGUUAAUUUAAAAAGGCGAUUUGGAUCCUAUAGGCAUGCUUUCUAAACCGUAUUAAUUAACACGAAGAGAGUGAACUAUUUAAUUUGAUUCAGAUAGGCAUGAGUCAAACUGAUUUUAACUAGACUGAUUUAGAUCGUAUAGGCAUGCUUUCUAAACCGUAUUAAUUAACACGAAGAGAGUGAACUAUUUAAUUUGAUUCAGACAGACAUGAGUCAAACUGAUUUUAACUAGACUGAUUUAGAAUAAACCACCUCAAAUGCCACUUGUUCUCAUAGCCUUUCUCAAACCUAGGUGUGUCAAAGUUCCCUGAGGGUCUCCAGGGACCACGGGCAGUGCUUACACCCAAGUUUGCAUAACCAGAUAGAGAUGAGUGCAGUGUGGAAGGGCCAACCCUUAUGUGUCCAAUUUUAGAGAGAGCUCAAGGGUCCCAAGGCAAGGCUCACACAAGAGGGGCAGAACAUAGGUUCUAAGAAUAUAGUGGAAGUGCAUAAUACAUAGAUUUAUUUUAAAAACUGGGUUGAAAAUAGUAAGUGGUAAGGUGAUUUGAAAACAGUAGUAAUAAAUCUCAAACUACACAGAAUUAGAAGUUACACAAAGGGGUCAGGGGUUUUGGGAUUACAUUGCAUGAAGCAUAUGACCCCACAAAGGGUCAGGUUUGGUCAUGUACAUCAAUAGAUGAUGUUGGAAUGCCCACAAACCAGCCAGAGAACACAAACACAUAGGGGGAUAUGGGGGUUUGGGAUUCACAAGUCAGCAAAUCACAUAACAAGUGACUGUCAGAGUACAUACACGAGGGGAACCAUUAAUUUAGAAGGGGAGGGAGCAGAUUACAACAUGCUUAGUAAUGUAACUUGAUUGCAUAAACAUAAGCAGAAGCAGGCAAGAGUGAAGGAAACUGAAACAUCUAAAGAAACAUGUUGUUGGUGAUGCUUUAAGAUUAACUAGGACAUACCAGUAGAGAAGCAAAGUGCAAAAAGAAAGAAAUAAGCAAGAUUCCACAGUCUAGCUUUGUCUUUCAGCCGGCUAGACAGAGUAGUAGAACAAGUAGUAGUAGAGAAAAGAGAGAAAGUUUUGAGUGUAAGUGUGUGUUCUUGAACUCAAUUGUCCGUGCCUUGAAAGAAGAGGGGGUGGGUGUUUAUAGUUUUGAAAACGAGUGAAGAAGAGGUAAAGUCUUAAACACAAACAUGGAAAUAAUCACAAGUCAGAAUCAAUUAACACAAGUGAUUUCCUUUAAUUAAGGAAUCACUGUUUAAUAGGUAGUAGCAUGUUUAAUUAAGGAAAGAAAAUUAGUUUGGGACAGAUUGAUUAUUGCCAUAUAAGAGGCAGUAAAAGUACGAAGUAAACAAUCAAGUCUAAGUACAAAAUACGCUUAUUUUGGGAAAGGAUUCAGCAAGGUAAAACAUCAGAGUAAAGGAAAGGAAUCAAUUAAUUUAAAUAAGUGAGUGAAAUUAAGGUUCACAAAAGAAAGCUUUUUUAAAUCAGUGACAAGAUCAAGAGCAAUUAAGGGAGAAACAUGGUUCUGCACUUUAGUAUAUAAAUAGAGUGAACAGGAGCAUCAGACAUGUGAGGCCAAAUACAUUGGCAAAAGAGAUAAUACAAACAUACAGUAGUGGCAGAAAUAAGCUAAGAUUCAGUAGUAAGAAAAACGUUCGAAGCACAGUAGUCAAGUGGGUCAAGUAGUCACAUAGAAUCAACAGCGAUGAAGAACAUUGUAUCAGGUACGAGAAAUUAAAAACAAGUAAAGGUUUCGUAGUAGUAAUAAGUGAGAAAAACUUCUAAGAAAUUUAGGGCUUAAACAGUAGUCGAGUUUUAGAUAUGGUAUGAACUUCAAAAUCAAACAAAUCAAACGAGGAAAAGAGAGUCAGAAACAAAGAACAAGUACAUAUUUAAACAAACAGUUUCAGAACUCAGAUAAGACUAAAAGGAACUAGGGUUUUUAACAUGCUGAAACAAAUAGAAGAACAACAUGAGCAAGUCAUUUUUAAACAUAGCAACAUCACAAACAACAUUAAAAUCGGAGACAAGAUCUUUUAAAACUUAAAGGAAAACCUUAAUCGUCGGAAAAUGAAGAGUCGUUUUGAAAGAAAAGUUGAAGAACCUUCGAGAAAACACUUAAGAAAUUCAUAGCAAGCACAUAUCUAUGAUAGAUCUAAAAAAAUGAAAGAUCUUAAGAAAGGUCAUGGAUGGUCGAAGAAAGGCCAUGAACAGAAGUCGAGCAAGGAAUGGACCAGAUCCCUUCGAGGUCUGGCCAUGAAGCCACAUAAACCAAAACCCAGGAGCCAUAGGAGGCUGAUACACAUCCCCAAUGGCCACGAGAGGCCAUGGAUUAGGCAGGGGCUAAGGUAGAUUAGGGUGAAAUUAGAUGGCGGCGGCUAGUGUUGCUGAGGGGUUUCAAAAAGAGUUGAGAGAAGAGGGAUUCAAGGGCGGUGUUUUGUAAAGAAUGAGGUAGGUUUAGGGGUCUUUUGGGUUUAAUUAUGGAAGGGCGAAUGGUGGUCGUUGAUCUGAAUGAUCAACGGCCUAGAUUCAAAAGGGUAGGUAGGGGAAUCUGGGUUGGGUCAUUUGAAUGGGUUAGGGGUCGGGUUUAAAUGAAAUGGGGCCAGGGAAAUUGGGUAUAAUUUGGGGUCGAAUUUAGGCUAAAAUUGAAAUGUAAUUGGGCUAUUAUUUAAAUAGCCAAUUUUUCCUUUUAAAAUUAUUAAAAAAUAGUAAGUUAAUUUUUGGAAAUAAAUUGAUAGCACUAAAAUGAUUUAUGACAUAUAAUUAACAAUUUAAAAAUAUAGGACUUAAUUUUAUGAAUAUAAAACACAAUUGAAUCUUGAAAGAACUAAUAUUGCAAAUAUGUGCAAUUUAGCUUAAAAAUACUAAAUAAGUUUGUACAAAUAUGAAAAAAUUACCUUAGCUAUAUCUUAGCAUAAAUAUAAAAGUCCAACAAAUGAAUUACCAAAAUAAUAAUUUUGACAAUAAUUAUUGGGUUUUUAUUGAUAAAAAAGGGAAAUAAAUUGGUUUAAAAAUUAUGGAAAAAUAAUAAAACACUUGGAUAUGCUUACAUAUGCAUAUAUAUGACAUUUUGAAGGUAUUUUGCGUAUUGAAAAUAUAUAGGAAAAAAGUGGGUAUCAACACCGGCGUGCGCCCUUAUGAAGGAGUCUGCCAACAUGGCAAAUGAAUCUAUGCAGUUGGGAGCCAGGUUGUGGUACCACAUCAUGGCCCCAUUCGAGAGCGUUUCUCCAAGUUUCUUCAGCAGGACUGACUCGAUCUCAUUGUUCUUUAUGUCGUUGCCCUUCACCGCGCAUGUGUAGGCAGUGACAUGUUCGUUUGGAUCCGAGGUCUCGCCGUAUUUUGGGAGUGCUGGCUUUCUAAACUUCUUUGUGAUGGGUUUUGAAGCUGCUUCCUCUGGGAACGGCCAUUGCACAAACUUUCUCGAAUCUACACCUUUCAGGACCGGGGGUGCUCCCGGGAUCUGAUCGACCCUAGAGUUAUAGGUCUCGACUUUUCUAUCAUUGGCCGCCAUUAUUUUCUCACCUGAUUCAAUCCUUCUGGUGAGGUUCUCAAGCAUCUUUACUAUGGCAGGGUCGGCUUUUGACCCGUUAUUGCGCGAUCCUUUGAGCACUUGCUCGGCGGGGGGAGUUGUUUCUGGCGCUGGUGUGCUGGGAGUCUUCGGAUGGCUUUGCAACUAAGCAAUGACCAACUGUUGUGCUUGCAACAUUUCCAAAAUACACAUGAAGACUAACUUCUUGUUCUUCCCGGGCUGGGGUUUUUUGGGCUUCCUAUCAGGCGUUGUGCCGUGUGUUCCUAUCGGUGUGGGAAGUUUCAUCGACUAGUUGUGCGUCCUGUGAAUCUACGUCCUCUAGAAUCAGUCCAGGCGCAUUAUCAGGAUUCUGUGGCAGAGCUCCAGUGACCGUGGCAGCCACACGUUUUGUUCCCUCGAUUUUUGUGGUUGUCGUUCUCGAUUCUGUUUACCAAGCAAGACAUUUUAACCUGAAAUCAAGAGAUCUUAGACAAGAAAAAGUGUGAAAGGUAACUUGUGUUUGUGCAAUGAAACCAACAAGAAAAUAAUCACUAUUAUUUUUAGUCCCACGGUGGGCGCCAAACUGUUUACCGUGAAAAUGGUAACAACAAUUAAAUGUGUAGAUGGGAUUCUAAAAAUAAGUGGUCUAUUUUUAUGCUAGUUGUUAGAGAAGAUGAUGCUAGGAAUAAGAAGUUUAAUGAAAAAAUGCAAGCCAAAACAAGGCAGUAAUCAAACCGAGAGGCCUGCUGCCCGGUUAUAGGACUGGUCGAUGGAGGACCUCGGGGUCGAUACCUGGGCUCGAUCUUGAGCUAUCGGGAGUGGUCAGGAAUGCGAUAACAGUUAAGAUAUGAUUAAACAAGGCUCUUUAUGGCCAAUAUCAGGUAAUAGAUGAGUAAGAAAGCUAUAAAUGCUAAAGUGGCCUCGAGCCAGAGAGAACGAACAAGUUAGAAAGAAGAGAGAGAGAGAGAGAGAGAUAUUAUUGAUCUUGCGGAGAAAUAGUUGGAGCAACAUAAGCCCUUUACAAGGUAGUGUGGGUUCCCUUUAUAUAGUAAGGGGGAUACAAUAUAAUACAGAGUGCAUUAAAUGCAAAGACAUGGGGAUGGGACGGCUAGGCACGGUGCUAGCGUUUGCUGAUUCUAGCUGCUCGCCUCAAGGAUCCCUCAUCCUUGGAAUAUUCAUUGGGUUGAGGACGAAUUCCCCAUCCUCAGAAUCUUUGUUGGGCCGUGGAUGACCCUCGAAGGAAGGAGCUUGAUCGUAAUGAUGCAGCCUCGAGGUACUGAUAUGACUCCCCGAAUGCACCUUAGCGGCGAGAAAUAGACCUCUCUGAUUUCACCGCAUACAGAUUUAAAUUAUAAGAUUAUGUUUGACCGCGUCGCAAAUAUGAUUCGCGAGCGGGGAUUAUGUUUUCACCAAUUCACAUGUAUGAUUCACGAACGGGGUGAAUAGAUGCAUCAGUGGUUCGCGUCGUUCGACCUUCGGCAGUGCACAAUUUACUUAUAUGUUGGAUUGGGUUGAACGUCCUUGGUCGUAUUUGUGUGUGAUAAUAGACUUGGAACUCUUUAUAGUUUGUGUGAUUAGUUGCUUGAAAUGUCACUUCUUUUAAAUAAUGAAAGUACCUUGAAUUCUUAAAUAUGAUGGAAGGAUUUUCCAGUUAUUAUUCUUGUUUGAGCUUGUUGUUAUCUACAUACAUUAUGAUUUAUGAAUUUGAAACUUCAUAUUAUUAUAUUGUUGGCCCUAAUAAGUGUUGGAGUCGACCCCUCGUCACUACUUCUUCGAGGUUAGACGAGAUACUUAUUGGGCACAUAUUUUUAUGUACUCAUGCUACACUUCUAUACUUGACUGUACAAGAUUUUAGGCAGGUGCAUCUGGCCAUUAGAACGACGCGUAGACUUGACUCCACAGCUUGAGACUUCCCAGUAAGUAGCCCUUUUGAGCCAUUUUGCAACAACUGGAGUCUCUCUUAGGUCUUUAUUUUCCUUUCUAUUCCUUUUCAGACAGUAGGAUAGUAUGGUUUUGUAUAUUCUAAUAGAUUGCCCACAUACUUGUGACAUCAGGCGUUGGCACACACACUAGUGGACUUAUGAUUUUUGGGUUACAUACGAGACUAUCUGUACGCGGCAAAAUCAGAGGACUUGAUUUAUCGCUGUCGAGUCAUUUCGCAAGAAUGCUUCGAGACCCCGAGGACAGGAUAGAGGGGGAAGUUCUCGAGGCACACGGCAAAGUGUGACAGGGCUGGCCUAUCCAGAGCCCCUGCUGAGGCAUCGCGUGAAGCCAUACUCUCUCCAUACUUUGUAAUUAAUGCCCACAUACUUGUAGCCAAGUUCCCCUCCUAUAUAAAGGGGACUCACACUACCUUGUAAAGGGCUGAUGCUGCUCCAUUUUCUCCAUGAAUGCAAUAAUAUCUCUCUGUCUUUCUCUUUUCUUUCUAACUUGUUUGUUCUCACUGGCCCGAGGCCACCUUAUAUCUAUCGUUCUCUUACUUGCUCUUCAUUAUAUAUAUCUCAAUAUUGGCCGUAAAAAGCCUUGUUUGAUUAUAUACUUAAUUGUUAUCUCAUUCCCGAUUAUCCCCGAUAGCUCAAACUCGACCCUGUCAUCGACCCCGAGGUCCCCCAUCGACCAGACCUACACCCGGGCAGCAGGCCCUUCGGUUCGAUUAUUAUCUCGUUUUAGCUUGCAUUCCAUCAUUAAACUUCAUAUUAUUAUCAUCAACUGCUCAAGCAACUAGCUCGGGAAUAGAUCACGUAUUUUUAGAAUCCCAUUUACAAAUUUAAUUGUUGUUACCAUUUUCACGUUAAACAAUUAUGAUUCGUAUUUAUUGUUUCCAUUUAUUUAUGCUUAAAGUUUAGCUCCUAAAUUUUUAUCAAAUAAGGAGAAGUCAUCACUUACUAAUUUAUUAAAUAGGAAUUCACUAGUUAAUUAGUGUUGUCUUGCCUAACAACGGUGUUGGGAGCAUCAGGGCCUGAUAUGAAAUUUGGGUUGUGACAACAUGGUAUCAGAGCACUAGGUUCAUGUAGGUCUCACAAGUUAUGGGUAAACCUAGUAGAGUCUUACGGAUCGGUACGGAAAUGUCUGUACUUAUCUUCGAGAGGCUAUAGGGUAUUAGGAAACUACUCUUUAUUCAUCUCCUAUAGUGCAGUUGAUGGUAUACUAAAUUUCCUUCAUUUAUUCUCUCACAAAUGGUUAAGACACGUACGACAGACGUUCCAUACCCAACAAGAAAUGCUUCCCCUAUUGCUAGAGGCCGAGGCAGAGGCCGGGGGAGGGCAACAACAUGAGGUAGGAGAUGAGGGCGUUUUAGAGCUUCACCAGUAUCACCACCAACAGAUCUAGUAGAGGAUCCAGUUAUCGAGGAGUAGGGUGAGGUUCCCUUACCAGAGCCAACCCCGAUAGAUGUCAAUACAGGACCGGGCUUUCAGGAGGUCAUGCCUUAUGCUGCGGUUCAUGGACACUAUGACUCAGGUUGGUUUAUUUCCAGCAGACCCAUCCAUAUCUCAGGAAGGAGGGAGAGCACAAACCCCUACUACUCAGGCUACUGGGCACGCGGCUGCGAUAUAUCAGACUCCAGGUACACUACCCUUAGGCGGGGCCUAGCCAGUUACAACAGCAGCACCUGAGCCUAUACCAGCUACGGACGGUGAUCUGCAUAAGCUACUGGAUAGAUGGACUAGGCUACACCCUCCUAUCUUUGGGGGUGAGCGGCAUGAGGACCCCUAGGACUUUAUUGAUCGGUGCAAGGACAAACUGCACAACAUGAGUAUAUUGGAGUCCCAUGGAGUAGAUUUCACCGCUUUCCAGCUAGAGGGAAGGGCCCGUAGAUGGUGGCAGUCUUACCUUCUUAGAAGACUAGCAGGUUCUCCUCCCAUGACAUGGUAUCAAUUUACACGACUUCUAUUGACAUGUAUAUUCCACCCUCUAAGAGGGAAGAGUUGCGGUGUUUUUUUGAGCAUCUUGAGCAUGGUUAGUUAUUUGUGAUCGAUUAUGAGGCGAGAUUUUCUAAGUUGUCUCACCAUGUACUUAUGAUACUCUCUAUGGACGCAGAGAGAGUGCGGAGAUUGUUGCAGGGUUGCAUGCCCCGAGAGGUUAAGAUGGGCACUGAUUAUCAGCUAGUAGUAGAGAUUGCUUAGAGGAUUGAGGGCAAUCGCUAGAGGGGUAGAGAGCGGAUACAUCAGGACUAGAGGAUCCAAUUCUCCGGAGAGUUCAAAGGUUCCCCAACUAGGGGUAGAGGUCAGUUUGGGAGGGGUCAACCUAGCAGGCCCGCAUAUCCAACACCACCACCACCUCCUCGGGGUGCUCCAAUGUGACCCUAUUUCAACACUCUGUCAGAGAGUUCUUACCGCCAACCAGUUUAUCAGGGUUCUUCUCAUGCUUAUUUCAGUGUUAUGCCAGAGAGUUCAUACCAUCCACCAGUCAUUUAGGGUUCUUCUUGUUGGUAUUCAGGCCAUCGGGGUCAGACUUCGGGUUAGCAGUCUAUGGUACCGAGAGGUUGUUACGAGUGUGGAGAUUUGGGUCACAUAAAGCGGACCUGCCCUAGACUUCACGGAAAGGCAGUACAGCAGGGUCAUCAGCCCAUGAUUGCAACACCAGCCACCCAAUCGCCUAAAGGUGGGGGAAAGGCUGGUAGGGGCUGUCCUAGAGGUGGAGGCUAGGCAGGGGGAGUUCAGCCAACUUAUUUUCAGCCAGACGGAGGUCAGCCAAUCAGUGCUCCAGCCAGAUUCUAUGCUUUUUAAGCCAGACCAGAUGCAGUGGCCUCAAAUGUUGUGAUCAUAGGUAUUAUUCCUAUCUGCGGUAGGGAUGCUUCGAUAUUAUUUGAUCAAUGGUCUACCUAUUCAUAUGUAUCAUCUCUGUUUUCUCAUUUUCUAGAUAUUCCUCACGAGUCUUUGGGUACUCCUAUUUAUGUGUCCACUCCUGUGGGUCAUUCUGUGGUUGUGGAUCGGAUCUACCGGUCUUAUGUAGUUACAUUAUGUUGUUACGAGACUAGAGAAAACCUUUUGUUACUUGAUAUAAUAGACUUUAAGGUCAUCUUGGGCAUGGAGUCGUUAUGCCCAUAUCAGACAAUCCUUUAUUGUCAUGCCAAGACUAUUACUUUAGCUAUGCUAGAGUUACCAAGAUUCGAGUGGCAUCUAGUCUGGUUAUCUCUUUCCUAUAGGCUUGACAUCUGGACGAGAAGGGUUUUUUGGCAUAUCUAGCAUAUGUUCGGGACACCACCACAGAGUCUCCGACAGUUGAUUUAGUGCCAGUAGUCUCGGAGUUCGCCGAUGUGUUUCCUUCUUACCUUCCUGGCAUGCCGCCAGAUCGUGAUAUUAAUUUAUGUAUUGAUUUGGAUGUAGGUACACAACCUAUAUAGAUCCCACCAUAUCGUAUGACCUCAAAAGAGCUGAAGUAGCUGCUUGAGGAGUUAUUAGCAAUGGGUUUUGUUAGGCCAAGUGUAUCACCUUGGGUGCACCAGUGUUAUUUGUGAAGAAAAAAGAUGGGACUAUGUCUAUGUGUAUUGAUUACCGCCAGAUGAACAAAGUGACCAUCAAGAUCAAGUACCCGUUGCCGUGUAUCGAUGAUUUGCUUAACCAGUUGCAGGGUGCUAGGGUGUUUUCUAAGAUCGACUUGAGAUUGGGGUACCGCCAAUUGAAGAUUCGGGACUCAGAUGUUCCAAAGACUACUUUCCAUACUAGAUAUGGCCAUUAUGCGUUUCUAGUGAUGUCCUUCGGCUAUGUGUACGGUGAAAUCGGAAGACCAAUUUCUCAUUAGCAAAUUGCUUCAGGAGGUCACCUUGGAGGCUCGGGAGCUCGAGCUAGUUACUUCCCUCAAGAUCUAUCGAUACCCAAUCGAGGAUAAUAACGACCGUGUACGUGGUGAAAUCAGAAUACUUGAUUUCUCGCUGACAAGACAUUUCAGGAGCAUGACACGGGACCCCGAGGGCAGGGGGUUGCAACCGAAUCCUCGCCCUCGGGACUAGUCAAAGCCCGACUCAGAGAAAACGAAGAACUAAGCCAGGAAAGAGGGAGAAGUCCUCUAGGCACAUGGCUACAUCUGACAAGCCCGGCCUAUCUAGAGCCUAUGCUGAAGCAUCAUGUCAAGCCAUUCCAUCACCGUACUUUGUAGUUGAUCCCCACGUACUUGUAACCGAGUCUCCCCUCCUAUAUAAAGGGGACUCGCCCUACCUUGUAAGGGGCUGAUGUUGCUCCAUUUCUCCACAAGUGCAAUAAUAUAUCUCUCCCUCUCUUUUCUUCUAAGUGUUUCAUCCUCGCAGGCUCGAGACCUCCUUCACAUUUAUUAUUUUCUUACUUGUUCUUCACUGUAUCGUUUAAUAUUGGCAAUAUAGAGCCUUGCUUAAUCAUACCUCUAACUGUUAUCCCAUCCCCGUCCAUCCCCGAUUGUCCGAGAUCGAUACCAAUGCCGACCCCGAGGUCCCAUCAACCAUCUCCGAGCUUGGGCAGCAGGCCCCUUUGGUUUGAUUACUGCCUCACCUUAACUCGCAUUUUAUCUUUAUACUUCACGCUCUUAGCAUUAACUGCUUUAAAACCUAGCUCGGGGAUAGAUCACGUAUUUUAGAGUCCCAUUUACAAAUUAAUUGUCGUUACCAUUUUCACGGUAAACAAUUUGGCGCCCACCGUGGGGCUAAAAAUAAUAGUGAUUAUUUUCUUGCGGGUUUCGUCACACAAACAUACAUUAUCUUUCACACUUUUUCUUGUCCAAGAUCCUUUGAUUUCAGGCCAAAAUGUCCGGCUCGGUAAAUGGAGUUGAGAAUGACAACCUCAAAAAUCUCGGGGAAAAUGGCGUGGCUAUCCCAGCCGCUGGAGCACCAUCGUGUGGCCCUGAUAUCGCUGCAGGACCAAUUCCAGCGGACGCAGAUUCACAGGGCACACAACGAGUUGGCGAAACUUCUCACAGCGACAGGAGCGUACGACACAGCGGCCAACAGGAAGCACAAAAAACCCAGCCCGAGUAGGACAGGAAGUUAGUCUUCAUGUUAUUUUUGAAAUGUUGCAGGCAUGACAGUUGGCUAUCGCUUAGAUGCAAAGCCGCCCGGAGACACCCCCUUACGAUGAGCUAUUACCCAAGGGAUCAAGUAACGACGGGUCGACAACUAACCCCGCCACAGUGAGGAUGCUUGGGAACCUCUUCAAAAGGAUCGAAUCAGGUUCGUGGAAGCUCUUACAGCAACCGUCUCCUGAGGAAACAGUCCCAGAACUCACUUCGCAGAAACCUGAAACGCCGGAACUCCCAAGGUGCGACAGGACCUUGGAUCCCUACGGGCGCACCACCACUCGCACAUGCUCGUUCAGAGGCAGCGAUACCCGAGGCGAUGGGUUCGAGCCCGUCUUGUUGAGAAAGUUUGAAGAAACUCUUUCGAGAGGAAUCGUGAUGCAACGCCAUUGCCUGGCACAUGACCUUACAGACUCGCUUACUAUACCAGUGUGGUCCUCUGCAGAAUCGCGCGCCAGUGCCACUAAAGCAGUAUCGAGAAGGCCAGAUACAUCUAAGGCCAAACUAAGAAGAAAUGAAAUGUGGCGAGAGGCCGCACCCUAUCUCCUGAUAAGACAAAUAAGAUCGCCCCCGGUCUUGGAUGACUGGCCAACACAGGCCCGCACCCGAAUCCUAAGCAAAGCAUGCCCAACGACUCUGGGGCAUUUUGAGCGAAGCCCGAUCAGGUACCCAACCGAGGUCCGUUGGACACCCACACCGGCACCAGUCCCGAAUCGGGGCCAUGGACAAGCCUCUAGGAAACCCAUCGGGUUCGGUAUAUCCAAGCAGACCCCCAACAAAGGAGCUGAUACAAUGUGGAUGGACAUAUCAUCCAUGCACGACAAAUGGAAGGAACGACUUGAGAAACAACUUACCUCACAAUAGCUGGGGGAUGGCCCGAGGACAACACCCUCGAGGAAACUCCAAAGGAACCAGAUUCAACAAGGCAUAGUUGGUAGGGAACCCCACCCAGCCGAGCUCGAUUUCAGCAUUGUUGUGCCGAACAUCAUGACCACCAUAAGCGAAUCCGGAAACGUCAGGCGGCUCAGACCUGUUCGACCAAGACAUCUCCAAGAGAACUAUGGCCCGGCGCAAGAACCACAGGGCGCGCGGGAUCACCAGCCCAAAAGAACAACAACCAUGUUAUUCAAUAGAGGUCGCCACCAAGUAUCAUCGAGCAGUCAGGCUCGAAUCCAACUCUAAGUGAGGAAGGAUAUCGGGAAAAAUGAAGCCGACAAGCCACAACGUAUUGCCACGAUAGUAGAGGAGCGGCGACACCCUUCAAAGAUCCGUAAAAUGCAGAAAGAAAGCGUUCAUCGCCUGGAAAAGGUAGGUCCGGGGAAUAUACCCGAAGGAUAACCUUGCAUCCAGGGAAAGGGAUGCCGAGACUUCGCCUCGGCCUUAUAUUCACGCGUUGGUAACCCCCUUCCUCAUUUAACCUAUAACAAGUAAAGCAUGUGUUCAUGAAUGCAGGUGUUUCGACCAACUACACCGAUGGCGUCAGGCCAAAGCAAAUAAGGCAGUUCGGACUAACAAACCAAAUCACUCCCACACCUCAAAUCCUUGAUAGAUCCCAGACGCCAAUCGCCACAACAAUCAAGAAGGCCGCACCCUCUAUACAGCUCGCUUGAGCUCAGACUGGAAUGGCGAGUCCGUGAAGCGCUAACUUUUUUAUUCGGACGACAAUGGGCACACCGCUCAGAGGCAAUUUCGACCCCACUCCGCCAAAAGGUUAAAACUCCCCGACAAAGGUGGGACUAAAGCAUUCGACUAAAAGCUACACGCGACGAGAGGAAAUCCCUCACCAUGUAACCCGUCACCGGAAUCGACGAUUCCACCCUCGAAGUGAUCAGAGGGUAAGCAGAACCGCAUCUUCGGCCGAGCCUAGUUUAACUCGACAGAAGGCUGCAUUAGGGCUCGCACCUCAAAACGACAGGAACAUACCUGACAUAAAAAAAUGUCGCAUGCACACCCCGCAGCAGGGAAGAACUACUCCGCUCCUAUGUUGUUUCUUUCCUUUUACUAACCUACAUGCAGGUAGUCAGCCAAGGCAUUCAGAAAUCCUAAAUUCCACUCAAAGAACCGAGGCCUCUGCGGGACCUACCGAGCUCUCUCUCCUCGACCGAGUUUUUCAGCCUAAAGGACCCGCUAGUGAGAUUAUUAGCGAAUCAAUGUACCCCCAAUAAAGGAAUUCAACAAGAUCGCAGCCUUUAUUCUACAAUCGGAUGACGUGCGAUGACCUCCUCUUAAGAGCACCAUCCCCUCGGAAGGGCCAACAAUUUGCAGGCUAAGUUCCAAAAAUAGAACCAUGUAAAUGGAUCAGAUAAUCAGAGGAGCCGCACCAAUACGGGCCGAGCUCGCGACAACGGGACAAUAUGUAUUUACAACAUAUAUUUACACCAAGCAAUAAAGAAUACCCUUUCGGCAUUUCUUAUUUCGAGAAGAUUUCGACAUAUUCACAGCAAAUGCUUCUCCUUUAAAUGAGCCCCGAUAUACUCGGAGACUCAGGAUCAGCAAUUCAACAACUUGCAUGACCUUAGGGUCGGAACUCCGGGGUCAUCAAGCCCUUGGAAGGCAACUUCGAGCUCACGAGAAGCUGUCUUCAAGCUCAAACAAACUCGAUGACUCGAAGACUGCUAUUGAUCGCCAUACAACUGGAAAACCCGAAACUGUAAGACCCCUAGCGGGCAGCCUCGGCAUAACCUGAUCUAUUCUACAAACUAUAAGACCUCGAUAGGCAUGGAAAACUGUAAGACAUCAAUAGGCACGGCAAAUUGUAAGACCUCAAUAGGCAUGGCAAGUUGUAAGACCUCAACAAGCAUGAAAAAUCCUGAAGUUUAGGCUAUACAUUGCAUUUGUAAGAAUCCCUAGAGCGCAUACCCUUUAUGUAGAUUCCUAAACAAUCACUAGGGAUCAAAACUGGCUACGGUCAAAACGGCUGAUACAUCCAAAAUAACGCGACUCGGGGACGCUCGACUAUCGCUUAAAAACACAGGCCACUACUCCGAAUAUACUUCGGAAAGAACCGGUUAAAACAGGCUUCCAUCCACAGGCAAAAACGAGCACUGACAACAUCGGCUCCAAAAUGCAAGAGCGUCGAUCUACUUGACCUACAAGCUAUGAAUCUUACGAGGUGCUCGAAACAUUGCCGACAACGACUUGAAAUCGAGGUUCCUCUGGAACGGACGACGAGUCAGGCAAAAAUAUUAUAAAAAGACCGUAAUGAGCAGAAUCAAAGCCUACAAAAAGCCCACGGGCAAAAAUAGCGUAAGAGCCAUUUUCGCCAGCUAAGCAAGCCUACGGGCCUCAUUGUCACACCUCCUUUUUACACCCGAGAGGGGAUAUAAGGGAAUUUUUUCCAAUUUAAGUGACAAUCGAAACAGGAUUAUCUAUUUUAAAUUCAGAGUCGCCACUUGGGAAAUUUAUGGCGUCCCAAGUCACCAGUUCAAAUCCCGAAUUGAGGAAAAGAUUGACUCUAUAUUACAGUCCGCGAUCCAAAAAUUCGGGUAAGGACUUCUGUUAACCCGGGAGAAGGUGUUAGGCAUUCCCGAGUUCCGCGGUUCUAGCACGGUCACUCAACUGUUAUUAUUGGCCUAUUAUCUGAUUUUAGAACAUUUUGAACCUAUGUGCAUUUUAACUUUAUAACCGCUUUUAUUCAUUUUGGAAAGAUUUCAACGUCAGCCAAAACACAUCUUUCCACACCACAUGAAAUGCACCCGCAGUCUGAGACAUAUUCUAUUUGACAUUGUUAAGAUUUGGAUUUGGGUCACAUGAAAUGCGCACCCGAGUUUAGGAAGGUAAUUUUAAAUUACGCGCCUAAAGCAACUAUACAUUUUUAACUUUGCAAGGGCCAUGGAAAAUUCGACUAAAUGGCACGCCCCGAUUUCUAAGGAUUUAGAUAUUCAAGAUCAAUGACAUGAGGGCCGUGCAUUUUGAGAUUUUAUUUGGCACGGCACACCUCGAUUCCAAUUUUAAAGGGGAUUCAAAACUAAGCUCUUGAGGGCCAUAAACUAUGUCUUGCUUAAUACGGCACACCUUAAUAUAUUCAAGGAAAACAAUUAUUUACACUACGGACAUUCAUAUUAGAUGUGUCCACAAUUAAUAACUCUUAAAAAACUAGAAAGCAGCUCAAUAUCCUUACAAAUUUAACAAACUAAUUUCAAACGAAAUAAACAAAUGAAAGUAAAGCAGACUAGUGAACGAAAUCAUGACACAACCCCAGAGUAUCAAAACAUCACCUUCAUCAUCUAAUCUAUGUUUAAGCCAUAACUUUUCAACUGAUAUUCUCAAGAGACGUCAGACCUUUAAUUUAAAGUCAUUAUCACUUUCUGUUGUUUCAUAGCCAUUGCCCAUGAGAUACUCCAUUAAUUUCCAACUUCUACUACAAUAGCACACAACUGGAACUAACAUCUUUUUCAGCAACAAUUAUUUACAGAAAAGUACUCAAAGUAAGCACACCUUUAAAAUCAUUUUGUUUUGAUGGUUUAACAGGCGCUUAAAUCAACCAAGAUAUAGUCAGAAAAAGGAAUUAGAAGAUAAGGGUAGGAAGUGAACCUGACAUUAGAAACGAAAAAAAAUCAGCGACUACACAUAUUUUGGUUCCAAAGUUCACGCGAGGAAACAAUUGCAAGAGCUCGAACAGAAAUAGCGAACAACGACUUGGAACCAACGAACGGACUGAUCCGAGAUUCAAUCGGCCUUCAUCUUUUAGAACGAAAAUUCAAAGAAACAGUAGUUCCGCCUCUGACCGAAAACGGAACCUCAACAAAAGACCGGCGAUAACCUGGAACUAAAAUGACGCCACUACCACAGCAAUGGCGACACUGGAGCAACAAUCGACGUGACACAUAUGAAGAACUCGUCAGAAAACUAACUCCAGCCAAACUCGAGACAAAACGUCACAAAAUCUAGGACUUGAAAGAUCUCAACUCAUCUGACGUAGAAGUACAACACACUAGUUUAUUUGAAACCCGUUUUAAGAGGUAACAUCAGAGAUUGUGAGUGAAGAAAGCAGAACAUUUUUGUUUUUGACUGUGUGUGGUGGUCGACAGUCUUCAUGGAGUCUCGCCGGUUUUCAUGGAGUUGUCCUUGUGAAGAAGAAAACCAGUUUUGGCGGGGGGGAGGGAAGGGUCGUGUAUUCCGAUUGAAGAAGAAGCAGAGCGUGGGAUCGUUGUUUGGGUGUAAUAGCGGGUUCACCGAUGGUGGUUAGAGGAAGAGAGAAGGGUCGUGUGGGGUGGGGGAAAUAGAGAAGAUGACGUGGGGGGGGGGGGGUAGGUCCGGUCUGCGGCGCCGAUUUUGAUUGAAGACUUUGGCCUCUCCUUUUUGUCUUUUUGGCGUUUUUAUACGUAGAGUCUAGGUUUAGGUUAUUAUUUUGUGUAUUUUAUCAAUUAGUCCCUAGGUCUUUUUGUGUUAAGUCCUUAGGGUCUUUUUUUAUUUAUUUUUAUUCUAAAAAAGAGUCUAGAAGGGUCUCUAGGCUUAAUGGACUAAUCCGAAUUGGG
rnacentral:lncRNA from 1 species